rnacentral:rRNA from 1 species
UACAGAGGUCUCGAGCGUUAGGCGGAAUCACUGGGCUUAAAGCGUGUGUAGGUGGAUGCCUAAGUACCUUGUGAAAUCCCACAGCUUAACUGUGGAACUGCUUGGUAUACUGGGUGUCUUGAGUCACUCAGGGGCGAGCGGAACAAAUGGUGGAGCGGUGAAAUGCGCAGAUAUCAGGAGGAACACCGGUGGCGAAGGCGGAUCUCUGGGCCGUAACUGACGCUGAGGAGCGAAAGCAUGGGGAGCGAACAGG